rnacentral:rRNA from 1 species
CACGUAGGGGGCGAGCGUUGUCCGGAUUUAUUGGGCGUAAAGAGCUCGUAGGCGGCUCGGUAAGUCGGGUGUGAAAUUUCGAGGCUUAACCUCGAAACGCCACCCGAUACUGCUGUGGCUAGAGUCCGGUAGGGGAGCGUGGAAUUCCUGGUGUAGCGGUGAAAUGCGCAGAUAUCAGGAGGAACACCAGCGGCGAAGGCGGCGCUCUGGGCCGGUAUUGACGCUGAGGCGCGAAAGCUAGGGGAGCAAACGGG